UGCUGCAGGCGUCCUUUGCGGCAGGCGUCCGCGUCGCAAACUGGUCAUCUUGAAGCUGCGGCCUACUGAGAACAGACAAGGGCGCUGCCUCAUGAGCCAUGCCUCUCUUUGAUAUACAGAAAAGGCUGGGCCUUAAUUUAGAUCGCGGGUUGACAAUCCAAAGUGCUGAACAACCCUACAAGAAUCCUGCUCGAUGCCAUGCUUUUGAAAAAGAAUGGAUAGAAUGUGCGCAUGGAAUUGGUACUAUCCGGGCAGAGAAAGAGUGCAAGAUAGAAUUUGAUGAUUUCAUAGAAUGUAUAACUCGGGUGAAAACGAUUCAACGCUUGAAAGCCAUCCAGAAACAGCGGGAUAAGCUCAUAAAGGAAGGGAAAUAUACCCCUCCACCUCACCACUUGGGCCAGGAGGAGCCUAGACCCUGAACAGAGAGCAGCUGCUGAUGGCUGGAGACUGAUUUUCAUUCUCCACUGGAAAAAUUGUUUACUGAAAACUUCUUUAUCAAAAAACUCUACCCAGGCUUCACAGCACCAUGUACCAAGCACUCCGUCUUCUCGCGCCGUCACGUUGCCUUCUGCGAACUCCAGCCGCAGCCUCAGCUCCCGGCUCUAGCAGCACAGCUGUCCCCUCGUUCUGGGUCCCGAACGCGGCUCAAAUGGCAAGCCAGAAUUCCUUCUGGAUAGAAUAUACCUUUGGUGAACUCAAGGUCCCAAAUGAUAAGUAUUAUGGCACCCAGACUGUAAGAUCUACGAUGAACUUUAAGAUUGGAGGUGUGAUGGAAUGCAUGCCAGUCCCAGUUAUUAAAGCUUUUGGCAUCUUGAGCAGCUGCUGAAGUAAACCAGGACUAUGGUCUUGAUCCAAAGAUUGCUGAUGUGAUCAUGAAGGCGGCAGACGAGGUGGAUGAAGGUAAAUGAUCAUUUUCCUCUUGUGUGGCAGACUGGAUCCGGAACCCAGACGAAUAUGAAUGUAAAUGAAGUCAUUAGCAAUAGAGCAAUUGAAAUAUUAGGAGGUGAACUUGGUAGCAAGAGCCCUGUGCAUCCCAAUGAUCAUGUUAAUAAAAGCCAGAGCUCAAAUGAUAUUUUCCCCACAGCAAUGCACAUUGCUGCUGCAGUAGAGGUUCUUCAAGUGCUGUUACCAGGACUGCAGAAGCUCCAUGAUGCUCUCCAGGCAAAAUCCAAAGAGUUUGCACAGAUCAUCAAAAUGAGGCGUACUCACACACAGGAUGCUGUUUCCACUUAAUCUUGGGCAGGAAUUUAGUGGUUAUGUUCAACAAGUGGCCUAUGCAAUGGCGAGAAUCAAAGCUGCCAUGCCAAUGAUCUACGAGCUUGCAGCCGGAGGCACCGCUGUUGGGACUAGAGUUGGCUUCACAGAAAAAGUUGCUGCAAAAGUGGCUUCAUUCACGGGCUUGCCAUUUGUCACCACUCCAAAUAAAUUUGAAGCUCUGGCUGCUCAUGAUGCUCUGGUUGAGCUCAGUGGAGCCAUGAACACUACUGCUUGCAGUCUAAUGAAGACAGCAAAUUAUAUCCAUUUUUUGGGUUCUGGUCCUCGGUCAGGUCUAAGUGAACUGAUUUUGCCUGAAAAUCAACCAUGAAGCAGUAUCAUGCCAGGCAAAGUGACCCCCACUCAGUGUGAAGCAAUGACCAUGGUUGCAGCCCAGGUCAUGGGCAAUCAUGUCAUUGUGACUGUUAGAGGCAGCAGUGGACACUUUGAGUUGAACGUUUUUAAGCCAAUGAUGAUGAAGAAUGUGUUACACUCAGCCAGGCUGCUGGGGGAUGCUUCAGUUUCUUUCACAGAAAACUGUGUGGUGGGAAUCCAGGCCAACACAAAGGAUCAACAAGCUGAUGCAUGAGUCUCUAAUGUUGGUGACAGCUCUCAAUCCUCACAUAGGGAAUGACAAGGCAGCAAAGAUUGCUAAGACAGCACACAAAAAUGGAUCAACCUUAAAAGAAACUGCUAUUGAACUUGGCUAUCUCACAGCAGAGCAGUUUGAUCAGUGGGUAAAACCUAAGGACAUGCUGGGUCCAAAGUGAUCUAAAUAAAUGUAUAUUGAAAAUAAACAUAUAUAAAAU